UUUCUUAUGGUUUUUCAUCAACUGAGCUUGGUAUCGUGUUGCAUUUGAUUUGGCUUUCUUAGGGACUGAGAGGAGAUAAUUGAAUGCGUGUAGAAAUUUCUGAUUUUUGGGUUUUUUCAGGCAUUUUAUUUUGAUUUUCAAGUUUUUUUCACAGGACCAGAUGUAUUGUUGGGAUUUGCUCUCUUUGCUGUGUGUGUUCCUAGAUUGGCAAUUCGCAGUUUUGUCUGCAUCUCUAUGCAUGCGUAGCUCGACUUCAUAGAGUUAUCGCUUAUGAUGAUUUUUUUUUUUGGUUGCUGCUGUUAAUCUCACAUUUGUUUGAUGUCUACUAGCAUGAACUAGCAUGAACUAGUACUACUAGGGUUGCUGUCUCUGUUUAAGCACAAUUAUUUGUCUAGCUUUCUUGUUUUGUGUUUAUUAGAUUAUUGUUAGAUUCUAGGGGGAUGCGUUCAAUCAAUACCUGAUUUGAUAUUUUACAUGAAUUUUGUGUUGUACUGGUUUGGAUGCUAUUGUUCAAGUUGGGUGCCACUGUUGUUGUGUUGGACUAUAUUCCAUUGGGUUCUACAGGUCUUUGGUUCCUUGUAGUAUUAGGAAACAAUUGUACUUAAGGGGGGAAAAUGAAAAAUCUUCUUCCAAACUUUAGUGGAUGAAACAAUUGUACUUGAAGUUUUACCAGCUUGAAUGCUGGACACGGGAUGCUAUUAUUGCUUGGUAUUGAGUGCCAAUAGUUAUUGUUCAAGUUGGGUGCCAAUAUUAUCGUGUUGGAGAAAGAACAAAAAAAUAUUUGAUAGAUGUUCCAUUGUUUGAAGGGGGAACAAUUGAAAAAUCUUCUUCCAAACUUUAGUUGGGGCAAAUCUUUUUUGCAUUAAGUGCAAUUGUUCAUUAGCAUUUAAUCAUGUUGUCAUUGAGUCGGGUAAAUUCUUUGAAGCUCAACCCUGAUAGAACUGUAGUGUCAACAUAAACAAGGACUUAAUGGAAUUCUUAUCAGAUUGAACGAUAGUAACUUGUUUAUUUCAUUCUUUUAAUAACUCUUCUAUAUUUCUAAAGGAUAUGAAAUGCACGCUGCAUCUGGAUUCAGUGUGCAGGAUGCUUAGGGUCCUUGAUUGAUCAAGUAGACUUAGGUUUAUGCUGUCAGUUCAGUAGUGGUGUCCACUUAGGUGCUGGUGAAGAUAUAUGUUCGUUAAACUUUGGUUCAUUAAACUGUGUCAAAUUACUCAAGGAGCUAAAUUGCAAUAAUCCGAUUCUUUCUUUCACCUGGUUUUCCGUUCCACUUCUCAAAGUACAGUCUCUUUCCUUUUGUCUACCAGCUGCUCAGGCCAUAGAUCAUUUUAACCUUGUUAAGCCUCCGUUUGGGAAGCAAGAUUUGGGCUAAAAUAGUCAUAUAAGACAAAAUAGUCUAUUUUAGCUCAAUAAGACAAAACAUCACAUCCAACCCAUAAUCAUUACAUUAUUUCUCUAAAAAAAAGGCUAAAAAAGCCAAAAGCUCUUCCUAAACUAGGUUUUUUAGCCCUAGGCUAAAAUAGUCAAAAAAAAAAAAACUAAAAAGCCAAAAAGCCAACUCACUUUCCAAACGGAAGCUAAGUAUGGACCAUGUGCUUGUGGAUUACCAGUCUUUGAAUAGGCACUGGAAUUCUAGAAUUCACAAUGGCAUAUUUUCUCAAAGCUCCCCAUUCCCUUUAUGUUCCGAUCUCCUUGAAAAUAGUGAAAUCACUUGAAACAGCAAUUGAAAUCCAUGCUACUAAAGACAAACUCCACUAAUCUUGCCAAAGAAUUCAUCUUGUAAAAGUGGGGAAUCUAGAUCUCGUCGGAUGUCUUUACUUUCAGCCAAGCAGGCUAUGUUGUGGCUUCUACAAAGCAACCCAAACAGUUAGAUAACAAGAGACGAUUAACGUUGAAAUGAGCUAGAAUCUUCUGAUUGAAGAGAAGCCCAUGGAGGCUGGAUGAUAAUAGAAGUUGUUUUGGGUAAGUUUCACCUAUUGAAGAAGACAUGGUGCAGAAUCGCAGAUCGAGGUUGGGGCGUCCAUUGGUGUUGUCCAAUUUAGAUGCGUUUGAUCAUCUUCUUGAAGAAUCGAUCAUCCAAUGGUUACUAUGCCCAGCUGAAGACUUUGAAGUGUUUUUCUGCUUGGAUGGGCGACUAGAUAUGCCUUUAUAGGUUUUAGAAUUUUUGCCUAACUUGUUCCCAAAUGCAGGUGCUUUAGGCUCAUAACCAGCUGCUAGGUAGUCUUUAAUAUUCAUUCAAAAGAUUAACCAGCGGGCGUAGCAGUCAAUAGUUCUGAAGCUCUAAAAUUUGUGCCCAAAAACCUCCAACACAUGACCAGUGAAGAGCAAAACAUGGAAGCGGCUGAUUUUUGUUCUCAGCAUUCUUAUGGAGAGUGUGUGCCAACUGAACCAACAUGCGAUGCAAAAACCAGCAGCAGCACAGAACUGCUGGAUAAAGGAUGCAUGCAGUAUGGGUGUUCUCAUUACCGACGAAGAUGCCGCAUUAGAGCUCCAUGUUG